rnacentral:lncRNA from 1 species
CAGUAAGAUAGCUAUUUGUAAAAGAAAUUAUAUUGUUUUUCAUGAUACACAUGAGGAAAUUUGUAUUGAUCAGAGUAAAAUAUAUGGUUAUAGAAGAGGACACAAGGUAAUAAUCGUGGGAAUGAAUUAUAUCCUGUAAAAUGGUAAAACAAAACUGUCAGAUUUGUAUUGAUUUGGAUAAUAAUAAGUUUGAGUUGCAAAGUUUAAGAAGCGGCGAAUAAAUGAGUUUCUGAGUAAUUAGAAGCAUAAUGUAAAUAGUCAUCAGAUCGUUAGACUGUUUAUCUUCUUCAUUUUGUAAUAUCUUUUAGUCUCGGCAUAUAAUUCGGAACUAGUUUUCGGUAUUUCCUGUUUUCUAUUUUUAUGAUUUAUACAUAUAGAUAAGAACUAGUAUCACUAGUUUUUCAACAGUACAUAAUGCAUGUUCCACGAGGAAAGUGUUUGCGGUUUAAACGGCUGUGGCUUUAUACUAUUAUAUAUAGUUUGGGAUUUUAAUUAUCAGUAUCGAAGGAGUUCACAGUUAGUCACAUUUUUAGACAGUUGCCGCUAUGUUUAUUACAUGUAUUUAUAAGAUUUUGUUAAUGGUAGUCUGUAAAUUUAAUUGUAAGUAGUAUCGCAAGAGACAAUAAGAACUUACUGCAAGCAACCAAUCCCAUUUCUGUGUCAUUUUUAUAGCCAAUUUGAUUUAGAUAAGAAAUAACUUUUCUAUGUCGUUAAAUUCUGACGACCCUGGCGAGAGGAAAUCAGAAUUAUUUUAUUAUACCAUGUAGUAUUUUGAAUUUUC